rnacentral:lncRNA from 1 species
GGGCGUGCCUCGAACCGAGGCAAACGAGAACAGCCGGGUGGAGGCGGAUGACCGGGAGGACUUCCACUGACUCAAAGACAUGUCGGUCCUGAAGCAGAGGGAGCUUGUUACCGAACAAGCCCUCUAUGACGCUGGCCUGAGCUUGGUCCCCCGUCUAGGUAUCGCCCGAUCCAUCAGUUAUCUUUUUAUUUGGCAUUCGUUCUCGUGCAUAUACUGAUCCUUUUGUCGGCAUUGCAGGGACACCACCGAGGAUGAGGUUGACCGACGCUGAGAUCAGACAAUAUGCGAUGAGGAAGAGGC